rnacentral:tRNA from 1 species
GACAAAAUGAGGGAAAUGUGCCUGAAUCAAAGGAUCACUGUGAUAAAGUGAACAUAGAGGUACACCAACCCUCUCAUUUCCU